CCAACACCAAGAACCAGAGCAGGGGAAGAAGUGAUUCGCUGCGCGAUUGCUUGUUCGCAAGGUCGAUUAUCGACUCUGAGUGUGUACAGGCAGUGCGGGAGAGAGGUCGGUAGCUCAUUGAAGAAGCCGCAAGCGCGGGGGAGCCGGAGACGACGAGAUUUUCUCUCCGGAAAUUUGUGCCUCCGCAGCUCCGUUUGGGUGGACCGACGACCAUUUCACCACCUUAGCCCCG
rnacentral:lncRNA from 7 species